GACGAACGCUGGCGGCGUGCUUAACACAUGCAAGUCGAACGGAAAGGCCCUGCUUUUGUGGGGUGCUCGAGUGGCGAACGGGUGAGUAACACGUGAGUAACCUGCCCUUGACUUUGGGAUAACUUCAGGAAACUGGGGCUAAUACCGGAUAGGAGCUCCUGCUGCAUGGUGGGGGUUGGAAAGUUUCGGCGGUUGGGGAUGGACUCGCGGCUUAUCAGCUUGUUGGUGGGGUAGUGGCUUACCAAGGCUUUGACGGGUAGCCGGCCUGAGAGGGUGACCGGCCACAUUGGGACUGAGAUACGGCCCAGACUCCUACGGGAGGCAGCAGUGGGGAAUAUUGCACAAUGGGCGGAAGCCUGAUGCAGCAACGCCGCGUGCGGGAUGACGGCCUUCGGGUUGUAAACCGCUUUCGCCUGUGACGAAGCGUGAGUGACGGUAAUGGGUAAAGAAGCACCGGCUAACUACGUGCCAGCAGCCGCGGUGAUACGUAGGGUGCGAGCGUUGUCCGGAUUUAUUGGGCGUAAAGGGCUCGUAGGUGGUUGAUCGCGUCGGAAGUGUAAUCUUGGGGCUUAACCCUGAGCGUGCUUUCGAUACGGGUUGACUUGAGGAAGGUAGGGGAGAAAUGGAAUUCCUGGUGGAGCGGUGGAAUGCGCAGAUAUCAGGAGGAACACCAGUGGCGAAGGCGGUUCUCUGGGCCUUUCCUGACGCUGAGGAGCGAAAGCGUGGGGAGCGAACAGGCUUAGAUACCCUGGUAGUCCACGCUGUAAACGGUGGGUACUAGGUGUGGGGUCCAUUCCACGGGUUCCGCGCCGUAGCUAACGCUUUAAGUACCCCGCCUGGGGAGUACGGCCGCAAGGCUAAAACUCAAAGGAAUUGACGGGGCCCCGCACAAGCGGCGGAGCAUGCGGAUUAAUUCGAUGCAACGCGUAGAACCUUACCUGGGUUUGACAUGGAUCGGGAGUGCUCAGAGAUGGGUGUGCCUCUUUUGGGGUCGGUUCACAGGUGGUGCAUGGCUGUCGUCAGCUCGUGUCGUGAGAUGUUGGGUUAAGUCCCGCAACGAGCGCAACCCUUGUUCACUGUUGCCAGCACGUUAUGGUGGGGACUCAGUGGAGACCGCCGGGGUCAACUCGGAGGAAGGUGGGGAUGACGUCAAGUCAUCAUGCCCCUUAUGUCCAGGGCUUCACGCAUGCUACAAUGGCUGGUACAGAGAGUGGCGAGCCUGUGAGGGUGAGCGAAUCUCGGAAAGCCGGUCUCAGUUCGGAUUGGGGUCUGCAACUCGACCUCAUGAAGUCGGAGUCGCUAGUAAUCGCAGAUCAGCAACGCUGCGGUGAAUACGUUCCCGGG
rnacentral:rRNA from 1 species